UUGAAACUCAAAGGAAUUGACGGGGGCCCGCACAAGCGGUGGAUUAUGUGGUUUAAUUCGAAGCAACGCGAAGAACCUUACCAGGGCUUGACAUCCUACUAACGAAGUAGAGAUACAUCAGGUGCCCUUCGGGGAAAGUAGAGACAGGUGAUGCAUGGUUGUCGUCAGCUCGUGUCGUGAGAUGUUGGGUUAAGUCCCGCAACGAGCGCAACCCCUAUUGUUAGUUGCUACGCAAGAGCACUCUAGCGAGACUGCCGUUGACAAAACGGAGGAAGGCGGGGACGACGUCAAAUCAUCAUGCCCCUUAUGUCCUGGGCUACACACGUAAUACAAUGGCGUCAACAAAGGGAUGCAAAGCCGCGAGGCAGAGCGAACCCCAAAAAUAACGUCCCAGUUCGGAUUGUAGUCUGCAACCCGACUACAUGAAGCUGGAAUCGCUAGUAAUCGCGGAUCAGAAUGCCGCGGUGAAUACGUUCCCGGGUCUUGUACACACCGCCCGUCACACCAUGGGAGUCGGAAAUGCCC
rnacentral:rRNA from 1 species